UGUGUAAGCGAAGCGAUAAGUGGAGCGGUGAAAGGCUCAGUAACGGGCGAUUUAUUUGAUCUCCUGGGACGGACAACAUCGGGAAACUGAUGGGAAAACGUCUAAGUUGCAGUUUAUUGAUUGUGACGUAAACCUUUGUGUGCAGGAGAGUAAGAUGCCAUCCUAUCAGUUAGUAAGUAGGGUAAGGGCCUACUUAGACGAAGACGGGUACGGGGAAUGAGGGUUUGAUUCCGGAGAGGGAGCCUGAGAGAUGGCUACCAGGACCAAGGUCAGCAGCAGGCGCGAAAAUUAUCGAAGCCCGCCUAGGGGCGAUAGUGAGGAGAC
rnacentral:rRNA from 1 species